GAUGAACGCUGGCGGCGUGCCUAAUACAUGCAAGUCGAGCGAACGGACGAGAAGCUUGCUUCUCUGAUGUUAGCGGCGGACGGGUGAGUAACACGUGGAUAACCUACCUAUAAGACUGGGAUAACUUCGGGAAACCGGAGCUAAUACCGGAUAAUAUUUUGAACCGCAUGGUUCAAAAGUGAAAGACGGUCUUGCUUUAACUUAUAGAUAUAUCCGCGCUUCAUUAGCUAGUUGGUAAGGUAACGGCCUACCAAGGCAACAAUGCAUAGCCGACCUGAGAGGGUGAUCGGCCACCCUGGAACUGGGACACGGUCCAGACUCCUACGGGAGGCAGCAGUAGGGAAUCUUCCGCAAUGGGCGAAAGCCUGACGGAGCAACGCCGCGUGAGUGAUGAAGGUCUUCGGAUCGUAAAACUCUGUUGUUAGGGAAGAACAUAUGUGUAAGUAACUGUGCACAUCUUGACGGUACCUAAUCAGAAAGCCACGGCUAACUACGUG
rnacentral:rRNA from 1 species